rnacentral:rRNA from 1 species
UGGGGAAUAUUGCACAACGGGCGCAAGCCUGAUGCAGCGACGCCGCGUGUAGGAUGAAGGUUUUCGGAUUGUAAACUCCUGUUAAGUGGGAAGAAAGACACUGACCUAAUACGUCAGUGGGAUGACGGUACCACUAGAGAAAGCACCGGCAAACUUCGUGCCAGCAGCCGCGGUAAUACGAAGGGUGCUAGCGUUAUUCGGAAUCACUGGGCUUAAAGGGCGCGUAGGCGGGUGAUCAAGUCAAUGGUGAAAUCCUCCAGCUUAACUGGAGAAGUGCCUUUGAUACUGAUUGUCUAGAGGGAGGUAGGGGCAUGUGGAACUUCAGGUGGAGCGGUGAAAUGCGUAGAUAUGUGGAGGAACAUCAAUGGCGAAGGCAGCCCCCUGGGUCGACACUGACGCUCAUGCACGAAAGCGUGGGGAGCAAACAGG